rnacentral:lncRNA from 1 species
GCAGGAAGUAAACAUGCACUUGGCAAAACCAAUAAGAAAGAAUUAAGAUUUUAAAAACAGGAUUACAGUUGCGUUUUCUGGAACCCAAUCUGAGCAGCUGAGCCCAUCUGUGGCUAAAGGUUAGUUCUGAGGACGGUUUAUUGCCAGAUGCCGCUUAGGGCCGAGAGACCUGUGGGUCUUGGGCUCCGGGGCGUGCUCCUCUCCACUCCCGAGCUGACCAACACAUGCAACCGAAGGAACGACUCCAGCGAGACAUGCUCCUCUUGCAAAAAAAAAAUCUAUUGCUGACUUGCUUACUGAUUUACUUACUGACUGGCUGGUUCAACCUCCACCCCAUCUCCUGUUCUUUGC